UACGUAGGGUGCAAGCGUUGUCCGGAUUUAUUGGGCGUAAAGAGCUCGUAGGCGGCUUAGAAAGUCAGGUGUGAAAACUCUGGCUCAACCCAGAGACGCCACUUGAUACUUCUAUGGCUUGAGUUCGGUAGGGGACCAUGGAAUUCCUGGUGUAGCGGUGAAAUGCGCAGAUAUCAGGAGGAACACCGAUGGCGAAGGCAGUGGUCUGGGCCGAUACUGACGCUGAGGAGCGAAAGCAUGGGGAGCGAACAGG
rnacentral:rRNA from 1 species